GGGGUUGUGGCUCAGAGGUAGAGCACUUGCCUGGCAUGCAUGAGGCACUGGGUUUGAUCCUCAGCACCA
rnacentral:tRNA from 1 species